UCUCCGUUGGUGAACCAGCGGAGGGAUCAUUACCGAGUGCAAACUCAUAACCCUUUGUGAACCUAUAUCUGUUGCUGCGGCGGCUCGCUCUCGGGCGAGCCCGCCGGUAAUAUCAGUAUCUCUGUUUGAACCCGACGAUACUUCUGAGUGUUCUUAGCGAACAGUUAAAACUUUUAACAACGGAUCUCUUGGCUCUA
rnacentral:misc_RNA from 1 species